ACAUGCUGACUGGAGUCUAUGGGUAUAGGAAACCAUUUUGUAGUAAUAAAAAAUGUGCAGGUGAAAGUGGUACACUUCCUUUUAUUGCAACUUUCUGGGCCUUUUUGACAAGCACAACCAAUGGUCUACCUAGUAAAAGUUUCUUUGGCACCAAGGCAACCCUAUUCCAAUGUCAAGGUCAAAAAUCAAAGGCCAGAACUGAUGUCAGCUGGAAAGAUACAACAUUGUGCAUUGGACUUGCAAGAUAAUUAAUUAAUGCACCAGUUUCAUGUUCAAAGGUCAAAGGUCAGAACUGAUGUCAGUGACAGUUGGAAAGAUACCAGAUUGAGGAUUGAAUUUGCCAGCUGGAUAAUAAAUGAAUGCACCAGUUUCAGGUUCAAAGGUCAGUGGCUCCAAAAUCAACUCCAUAAAAUGGUGAAUAUUUCAUCAAACUUAACUUAUACCAAUAACUGAAUCCAGAAGAGGACACUCUUGAUGGGUAUAAUGUAACACAGGGCUUCACACAUUUUUGCAGUAAAGGAUGCCUUUACCAGUUGAAGAAGCUCAGGUUAUCUAUUGAUAGUGUUUUGUGUUUUGCCUACAGAGAUAAUGACAUUAUAUAAAAAGAAAUCUUUAUUGUAUUUCAAAGAAUUUCAUUCUCAGCUCACAUGAGCUGUAAGCUCAAGAGAGUUUUUUUCUGAUUAAAAAAUUAAUAUUCACUGUAAA